CAGUUAGGGGUAUGAUGUAUUAUCGAAGGGCUCUGAAGCUUCAAGCAUUUCUUGACAUGGCUUCUGAAAGUGGUAAGAUG
rfam:Cucumis sativus cultivar 9930 chromosome 2, whole genome shotgun sequence.